rnacentral:tRNA from 1 species
ACAUGACUGGCUCAGUCAGUAGAGCAUGUGACUCUUGAUCUCAGGGUUGUAAGUUCGAGCCCCAUGUUGGGUG